UACGUAGGGUGCAAGCGUUGUCCGGAAUUAUUGGGCGUAAAGAGCUCGUAGGCGGUCUGUCGCGUCGGAUGUGAAAACCCGGGGCUUAACCCCGGGCCUGCAUUCGAUACGGGCAGAUUCGAGUGUGGUAGGGGAGACUGGAACUCCUGGUGUAGCGGUGAAAUGCGCAGAUAUCAGGAAGAACACCGGUGGCGAAGGCGGGUCUCUGGGCCACUACUGACGCUGAGGCACGAAAGCGUGGGGAGCAAACAGG
rnacentral:rRNA from 1 species